rnacentral:rRNA from 1 species
AAUAAGCUGUCUCAGUUAUAACUAUUGAAUUUAACUUUUAAGUGAAAAGGCUUAAAUAGUCUAAGGGGACGAUAAGACCCUAUAAAGCUUUACGAUUUGUUUAUUAAAUCAAAAAUUGUAAGUAUAAAUUUUAUUUAAUAGACAUUUGUUUCGUUGGGGCGACGAGAAUAAAAUUUAGUAACUGUUCUUUUAGAGUAUAACAAUUAUAAUUGAAGGAAAAUUGAUCCCUUAUUAAGGAUUAAAAAUUUAAGUUACUUUAGGGAUAACAGCGUAAUCUUUUUUGAGAGUCCAUAUCGACAAAAAGGGUUGCGACCUCGAUGUUGAAUUAAGGGAUCUUUACAGUGCAGCAGUUGUAAAGGAAGGUCUGUUCGACCUUUGAUUCCUUACAUGAUUUGAGUUCAGACCGGCGUAAGCCAG